rnacentral:misc_RNA from 1 species
GCAGAAUAAACAAUUUUUGGAUAAACAAUUUAACAGCGCGGGAGUAAUCAUCUGGAAUAGUAGCAGGAAAUCCCAAACCACAAGGAGGUGACCCAGUAAGCAGAUAACAGAGAUUGAAGCCUCAGCAGUAAUCUUCUCCUUCUCCAUCUUCGUCAAGGAUGUCCAUUCUAAGGUGUUGAGAUUGAAGCCUGAAAGUACCCUGAAACCGUCUGCGUCACCGCCAACAAAGAAAAUACUCCUUCCGCCAACGAAGAAGAAGCGCCACAAAGUCGGAAUAUCUAUUGGCGGAUCA